GGCAUGCAUAUUCAACAGGUGUUAAUGAGGAUAAAAAAAAAAGAAAAAAACGCAGCCCUAAACUUUUCUUUCUGUUUAGUUUUAUCUUUCUCUCUCACCAUUCUUAGAUGCAGAUUCAAACCUAGUGCGGUGGUGGCUCAAGACUUAACUCCUAAAUAGAAGCGAUCUCUUCGUUUCUCUUUUAUUCUUCUCUCUUCUAUUCUUUUCUACUCCCCUCACAGAAGCACAGCCAUCGUUACCUAUUUGCUAGUUUACAGUCGUUCAUCUUGCUAGAUUUGCAAAGAACAACCACACCACCUCCAUCUUCUUCUUAACAUUCACGUACGAACCAACAUGAUUGACGAGUUCAUCAACAAAUUAUGGUGACGGUGGUGUUUCUGGUGGUGGUGGUGACGGCGGUGAUGGUUGUGGUCGGUGAAGAAAGGAGGUGGUGGCGGAGCUGCUGGAGUGUUAAAAAGAAGAAUAAAGAGAAAGGUCGAAUAAUCACAGAAAUCUGAACGGCUCACAUCAAUUCAAUUCCGUGUUUUUGAGCUAUCUGAUCCAACAGACCAGAUCUAAAUGGACACAGAAAUUCUUCUAAAUCUUUUUGCAAUUUGCGUUAGAGGGUCCACGGUGGACGAUCAAACCUAUAAUUAUGGUCCAUAGAAGAGACACAACGGGACGGAGUAAAGACUAAAAACCGGAUCAAAACCAAAUUCCAGACUAUAUUUAGUCUGGGAUCAAGACCAAAAAUAUAUAUAGUCGAGCGACCGUAUAAUGUUCGUUUAUCACCGGGCGGGUAUAUAAUGUGAUCAUGCUGAUGAGGCGUGCAUAUAAUGUGAUCAUGCUGAUGAGGCGUGCAUAUAAUGUGAUCCUGGUGAUGAGGAGUGCAUAUAAUGUGAUCCUGGUGAGGCGUGCAUAUACAGUUUGCCGGCUGGCUGAUUAGGCGUUCAUAUAAUGUGAUUAUGUGAUGUGAUCCUGUGAUGGGACUGGCAUAUAAUAUGAUCCUGGUGAUGGGACGGGCAUAUAAUGUGAUCCUGGUGACGGGGCGGGCAUAUAAUGUGAUCCUGGUGUAUACUUUUUCUUAGCUACCAAAUUUACUCUUCCA